UAGGGAAUCUUCCGCAAUGGACGCAAGUCUGACGGAGCAACGCCGCGUGAGUGAAGAAGGAUUUCGGUUCGUAAAACUCUGUUGUUAGAGAAGAACAGCGCAUAGAGUAACUGUUAUGCGUGUGACGGUAUCUAACCAGAAAGCCACGGCUAACUACGUGCCAGCAGCCGCGGUAAUACGUAGGUGGCAAGCGUUGUCCGGAUUUAUUGGGCGUAAAGCGAGCGCAGGCGGUCAAUUAAGUCUGAUGUGAAAGCCCCCGGCUCAACCGGGGAAGGUCAUUGGAAACUGGUUGACUUGAGUGCAGAAGAGGAGAGUGGAAUUCCAUGUGUAGCGGUGAAAUGCGUAGAUAUAUGGAGGAACACCAGUGGCGAAGGCGACUCUCGGGUCUGUAACUGACGCUGAGGCUCGAAAGCGUGGGUAGCAAACAGG
rnacentral:rRNA from 1 species